rnacentral:lncRNA from 1 species
AUGGGUGGGGGGGUGGCACUGGGUGUCCUGGGAGCCCCAGCACUGGUGAGUGGGUGGGGGCGCAGCUGUGGGCUGGUGACCCUGCACGGCCCCAUGGCGCAGCACAGCACCCCAGGCUGCCCCACAUCAGGCCGUACUGCUCUGCUCCUCACCAAACUGCCCUGCAGUGAAACAGGGCCCCGAGCUGCACUGCACCAAACUGCUCCCAGUCACCACAGCCUGCUCCAAGCUGCACCGCCUCUCACCACCCGGCGCUGUGCCACACUGCGUCAGCCUGCAGCCCUCCAGCCAGCACCACAGCACAGCAACCUGCACCACAUCACACCAAACCGCACCAUCUCCCACCAACCAGCACUGUACCACACCUCAAUCUCACCAAACUGCACCGCAUGGCACCGGAUGCCACCGCCCUGCCCCAACACGCAGCAAAUUGCACUGCAGGGCAGCAGCUCACACCACGCUUCACCUGAGUGCACCAAACCUCACCGCAUUGCACCACAGCUCACCGAACUUUGCCGCAUUGCACCGGAGCUCACCAAACUGUACCAUGUCUCACCAAACCGCACCGCACUUCACCAGAUCUCACCAAACUGCACCUCACUUCACUGGAUCUCUCCAAACUUUGCUGGAUCUCACCAAAUGUUGCCGCACUGCACCGGAUCGCACCAAACUUUGCCGGAUCUCACCAAACUUUGCCGCAUUGCACCGGAUCUUGCCAAACUGCAUCACAUCUCACCAAAGUGCACUGCUAUUGAUCAGCACACACAAAAGUUAAAUGCAUCUCAUCAAAGUGUAACGCACUUCACCAGCUCUCACCAAACUUCACCGCAUUGCACCGGAUCUCACCAAACUUUGCCGGAUCUCACCAAACUGCACCGGAUUGCACCAAACUUUGCCAGAUCUCACCAAACGUUACAGCACAUCACCAAACUGUACCACACUUCACCAAAGUGCAUCACAUGUCACCAAAGUGCACCGCACCUCACUGAAUUGCACUGCACUUCACCGGAUCUCACCAAACUUUGCCGGAUCUCACCAAACUUUGCCGGAUUGCACCAAACUUUGCCAGAUCGCACCAAACUUUGCCGGAUUGCACCGGAUCUUGCCAAACUGCACCACUUCUCACCAACGUGCACUGCUAUUGAUCAGCGCACACAAAAGUUAAAUGCAUCUCAACAAAGUGUAACGCACUUCACCAGAUCUCACCAAACUUCACCGCAGUGCACCGGAUCUCACCAAACUUCACCGGAUCUCACCAAACUUUGCCGGAUCGCACCAAACUUUGCCGGAUCUCACCAAAAAUCACUGCACAUAAUCAAACUGUACCACACUUCACCAAAGUGCAUCACAUGUCACCAAAGUGCACUGCACCUCACAGAACUGCACUGCACUUCACCGGAUCUCACCAAACUUGCUGGAUUGCACCAAACUUCACCGGAUCUCACCAAACUCUGCCGGAUUGCGCCGCACUUCACCGGAUCACACCAAACUUCACCGGAUCGCACCAAACUUCACCCAAGUGCACUGAAGCAGCCUGCACUGCACCAACUCUCCCCACACAGCUCCCUGUGUGAGUGCACUGGUGCCAGUGUUUGUACGCAAAGCAGCGCGGUCGCCAAAAGCCACCUGGCUGUGACCAAGUGCCACCACCACAGGGCUGACGUGCAACGCAGCCGAAAAGGCUGGAGUGUGUUUGUUAGUGUUAAUCAUGACUGA